GACGAACGCUGGCGGCGUGCUUAACACAUGCAAGUCGAACGAUGAAGCUAGAGCUUGCUCUGGUGAAUUAGUGGCGAACGGGUGAGUAACACGUGAGUAACCUGCCCCGAACUCUGGGAUAACUGCUGGAAACGGUAGCUAAUACUGGAUACGACCUACGAAGGCAUCUUCUGUAGGUGGAAAGAAUUUCGGUUCGGGAUGGACUCGCGGCCUAUCAGCUUGUUGGUGAGGUAAUGGCUCACCAAGGCGACGACGGGUAGCCGGCCUGAGAGGGUGACCGGCCACACUGGGACUGAGACACGGCCCAGACUCCUACGGGAGGCAGCAGUGGGGAAUAUUGCACAAUGGGCGCAAGCCUGAUGCAGCAACGCCGCGUGAGGGAUGACGGCCU
rnacentral:rRNA from 1 species